UAAUAAGUGGACACUUACAGAAAACAUCUCUACGAUUUGCCGGCGAGUCAGCGAACCAGCCGCGGUGCCCCUUUGAGUGCAGUGGGGAGUGCGGAUCAGCUACGUCUUUUAAAUCUUAGCCAGCCGGGAGUGGACAUGUUAGCCCGUACCCCAACAAUGUGUACAUAGGAAUUUUUUACCUGCAUAAAAUAAAUGUACCAAUGCAAGAACACAGGUGAUUCUACAAAGUAAUGGCUGACUUCUACCAGAGAAUGCAGAUCUUCUGCUAGCCUCUCGACCAUUUGCUGCAGCGGCUGCUCUCUCUAUGCAUGCAUUUGUGUGUCUGUUCGUGGAAAGGAGUAGUACACAGAGUUUCUUCCUGGGAGCCAACCCCUAUCUAACACUACUACAUUAGGCCUGGGCUUCAAUAUAAGAAAAAGAAAAGAGGAAUGAAAACAAGAUAAGCAAGGAAAAAAAUAAGCCCUGGCUUAUUUUGGUUCAUUAUCCAUUAUUCAUAUUGUUUAAUCCAUUUCAUUCAUGUAAAGGCUGUAUCAUGCUUCCAUUUGAUCACUUUCAAUAUGUAUCUUUAAAAUGAUCACCUCACAUAAAUAUCUGCUCCUAAAGGUAACUAGAAACUUUAUCUUUUCUUUUAACAGAACAAAUUUUAUACAAAUUACCAGAGGGGAUAGGGUCAAGCCUGAACCCCCCCCUCUUUUCAUUACUCUGCAGAGUAAAGCCUAUGUAAGCAAGAAAAUGACAAAGGUAAAACAGUACUGAGAAAAUUGCCCCAACUUCCAUGAUAUAAAAUGUUCCAUUUGCAAUUUGUAAAUUGUUGCCAAUCAAUAAUAACAAUGGCUAAUUAUGGUAUACUUCAACAUAUAAGAAAGUUAAGUUGGGCUGACUUAGCUGAGUAUUCUUGCAGAACUCACUGGUGCUACCAACACUAGUUUACAGGAGCGUGGCGCCCUCUCUAUGUAGGCAUCUGACUCAAAGCAGGCUGUAGCACGUAAGAAAACAUUACCUCAGAGAUUACUGAUUUAUACCUAAGAUUCAUACCUAAGAUGGGUGAUUUGAAAUGCAAAAAAAAAUGAGCUGCUCUUUCUGUCACGAUUCCCUCUGCAACUACCUAAGUCACCUCUAGGCAUUAAAAAAAAGAAGAAAAAAAGUGGCUGAGUAUUUAAAAGAGCAAUCUAGCUGUCUGAAUUGACUCGGUGUUAGUCUUUAGUGGCCCUUUAAAUAGAACAUCUUGUCACCGUUGCGUAUGACAGUGCUAAGUGGAUACAACUGUGCAAUGCCGACUGCUGCUGUUCUCAAAAUGGCCACAAUGCUGUACUAUUACUGAGCAUCAGGCACAACGGGUACAUUAAGAAUAAGGUGACAGAGAUUGGACGUGGCCAGAUUCUACAGCACUGGGGUCAUGAUAAACAAGUGCUCCUUAUUGGUGACGAUAAAAGCAAACAAGGGAAAGAGGGAGCUCAAGGAUGGACAUGCCAGGGCACCGCAUCGUGUGCUGCACACUGCGGCGACACCAAUGCCAAAGAUGGCCGUCUUUAGAGAAACAUUAAACUGCAUUAAUUAAUA